CAUUACGCCUAAGCCCUAUCUAAAAGUUGUAUAUAACUCAUCUGGGUUUAGCAAUGCUAUGAAUAAGGAAAAACAAAGAGGACCAAUCUACGCCGUGGAAGGGAAAUGCACUUCUCUGAUAGAGACAGUGAUCAUUACAGGUCCUCAAGGGAAAGGUGGAAUAUCAAGGGAAAAGACUGGGAAGCUGUGAGGUCUUUCCACAGUGAUAUUUGGCAUUUGCAUUUUCUAAAAAUAGCUAGCAAGUAUUCUUCCAUCUUUUUCUGUUGCCUAAGAGGGUAUUAUAAUUCAGAUAAAAGAUGGCUAUGGAUGUACGAACAAGAUGGAUAAGAAAAAUAUUCGAGAAUUAGAACUGACCAGAUUUGAUUGACUGUAGAAGUGCUGAAAAUUUCUCUUUCUUCUGUUUAGCUCAUAUAUCUUCUCCCCAGAUACUAAGCAUAAAGUGAUAGACUAAAUUCCUAUCUCUGCAUGUCAAUAUGUUGACUUUUAGUUUGAAGUAGAGCCACACAUAUUUGGUCAGAAAUUGAUUGUAGAGAAUAAAAACCCUGUCCAACCAGGAAAUGAGCAAAAGAGGGCUGGGGUGAAGAUUGCAAGAAUAUACAUCUCAGACUCCAGGAAAAGGAAAAUACAGGAACUGUGAAGACUGUUUUCAUUUGGAGACCAGCAGCCAUUCCCUCUGUCUCUCUAUUGCUGCUACCCAAUUAGCAACUUCCCCUUUGUGACUUAAAUGCCAAAAAGAUGACAUUAAUGGCUCAAUUCAGUGUAUGAAGGAUUCCUGAGAAGAAUAUAUGAUAAAGCAUAGCUUCCUAGGUCACCCUUUUAACAGGGACCAGGAGUUUGGGUUGUGGUAGGGCUGUGUCCUGAGGUCAGGCCAAGAAGUGGGCUGAUAUGUUAAAGGACAACUGAAUACUUCUUCAACUAUAUAAAGACCUUCUAUAUGUAAUGCCAUGCUAUGUCAUUAAUGGCAUUUCAUUUUAGCUUUUUAAAAAACCCAACGAAGGGAAAUUCAAGGUAAUGGAAACAUUUUAAGUUUUAAAAUCUGAGUCCUGGUCAUGGGUCUACUACAAAUGUGAUUUCUUCCCAUUGCUUCUGUUUCUCUAGGCUAAACCAGGAAGAUAGUUGUCAAAACUUCGGGUACUAUUUUAACAUACAUCAGCACUUGUUAAUUUGCUGUAAUUCCCUCAAUAGAACACCAAGCUUUAGUUUUCAGUAUGUUUCUUGGGCAAGUGAGGUGGUAGGUGGCCAUGUACUAGAUCAAACUUGAUUUUCUAGGGAUUGUUUUCCCACUUUUAGAGAAUACCAUUCUUAGGCUAAACUCAAUUACAGAAUCUACUGCAUGCUAUACAGCCCUCUAUAGAAAUAUUCACCCUGAGUAGUUAAUUAUGUUUCUUAAUGGGUAAAUGUUUUAUCUAGUCCCUCUUUUUUUUUAAUUUGAUAAAAUCCAGAUCUCUCAGAGCUUAAAUACACUUCCUCUUAUUUUCCCUACAACAAAUAUGGAAAAGAUCUAUAAUAUAUAUUUGAAUAUGUAUUAAGUUGUUCCUCACCCUUUUCUAUUUUUUAUUAGCUAUUGAGUGUUUAUUAAUGCUUCAAACACUUCCAAGUGCUUUAUGUAUAUUAACUGAUUUAAUUCUUAAGUUACUCUAUGAGAUGGUAUUAUUAUCCCAACUUAAUAGGAAACUGAAGCACAGUGAGCUAAAGUAACUCUCGAAGUGGUGGAGCAGAGAGAUGAACCCAGGCAGUCUGACUUUAGAACAUCUAUGCUUACCACUAUGAUGUUCUCAAGGACCCCAUUCUGAAUAUAGGAAUAAACAAAUUCAGUUUCUCCCACUUUAAUCUCACAACACCCUUCUGACUCCAGAUGUGUGUGGAGGGGGGUUCCCCACGCAUUAAGCAAAUAAGCAAUUUUGCAGCAGACACCAGCUGGGUGUCCUCUAAUUCAAUUCACUUCUUACACUACCUGGAGAUAGCAUCAGAUACCAUAGGUUGAAGGCUCAGUGCCACAAGAUGGCUCCCACUUCAGAUGACAAUCAGAAGCCCCAGAUGGUGACCAAGGGUCCUAACCAACUAGCUAUAAGUUAGGGUUCCCAUAACCCCUUCUUGAGCUCCAUUAGUUUGCUAGAGAGGCUCACAGAACUCGGAAACACUAUACAGUCAUGCUGUACAUAAUGACAUUUCAAUGUCAGCCUGCAUAGACAAUGGUGAUCCCAUAAGAUUAUAAUACUGUAUUUUUACUGUACCUUUUCUAUGUUUAGGUAUGUUUAGAUAGACAAAUAGUCAAUCCUUGAACAACUUGGGUUUGAACUGUGUGGGUCCAUUUAUACAUGGAUUUUUUUUCAAUAAAUGUAUUGGAAAAUUUUUUGGAGAUUUGCAACAAUUUGAAAAACCAGAUGAACCUCAUAGACUAGAAAUAUCAAAAAAAAUAAAGGUAUGUGAAGAGUACAU
rnacentral:lncRNA from 1 species